rnacentral:rRNA from 1 species
CACGUAGGAUCCAAGCGUUAUCCUGAUUUACUGGGCGUAAAGCGCGUGUAGGUGGUUUGUUAAGUUGGGUGUUAAAUCUCUCGGCUCAACUGAGAGAUGUCGCUCAAAACUAGCAGACUGGAGGACGGUAGAGGAAGGUGGAAUUCCGGGUGUAGUGGUGAAAUGCGUAGAUAUCCGGAGGAACACCAGUGGCGAAGGCGGCCUUCUGGACCGCUCCUGACACUCAAACGCGAAAGCUAGGGGAGCAAACGGGAUUAGAAACCCUAGUAGU